GUCUACGGCCAUACCACCCUGAAUUCGCCUGAUCUCGUCUGAUCUCAGAAGCUAAGCAGGAUUAAGCCUGGUUAAUGCUUGGAUGGGAGAAUCAGAUAUAGAGAACUUUCAGGGCAAAAACUCAUAAGCAGAAGACA
rnacentral:rRNA from 1 species